rnacentral:rRNA from 1 species
GACGAAGGGGGCUAGCGUUGUUCGGAAUUACUGGGCGUAAAGGGCGCGUAGGCGGUUUGAAUCGUCGGAUGUGAAAGGCCUGGGCUCAACCUGGGAACGGCAUCCGAUACGGUCAGACUUGAGUGUGGGAGAGGUUGGUGGAAUUCCCAGUGUAGAGGUGAAAUUCGUAGAUAUUGGGAAGAACACCGGUGGCGAAGGCGGCCAACUGGACCACAACUGACGCUGAGGCGCGAAAGCGUGGGGAGCAAACAGG